CAGCCGCCACGGUAAUACGAAGGGUGCAAGCGUUAAUCGGAAUUACUGGGCGUAAAGCGUGCGUAGGCGGUUUGUUAAGUCUGUUGUGAAAUCCCCGGGCUCAACCUGGGAAUGGCAAUGGAUACUGGCAAGCUAGAGUGUGUCAGAGGAUGGUGGAAUUCCCGGUGUAGCGGUGAAAUGCGUAGAGAUCGGGAGGAACAUCAGUGGCGAAGGCGGCCAUCUGGGACAACACUGACGCUGAGGCACGAAAGCGUGGGGAGCAAACAGGAUUAGAUACCCGAGUAGUCCCUGUCUCUUAUAC
rnacentral:rRNA from 1 species